GACGAACGCUGGCGGCGUGCUUAACACAUGCAAGUCGAACGGAAAGGCCCUGCUUUUGUGGGGUGCUCGAGUGGCGAACGGGUGAGUAACACGUGAGUAACCUGCCCUUGACUUUGGGAUAACUUCAGGAAACUGGGGCUAAUACCGGAUAGGAGCUCCUGCUGCAUGGUGGGGGUUGGAAAGUUUCGGCGGUUGGGGAUGGACUCGCGGCUUAUCAGCUUGUUUGUGGGGUAGUGGCUUACCAAGGCUUUGACGGGUAGCCGGCCUGAGAGGGUGACCGGCCACAUUGGGACUGAGAUACGGCCCAGACUCCUACGGGAGGCAGCAGUGGGGAAUAUUGCACAAUGGGCGGAAGCCUGAUGCAGAAACGCCGCGUGCGGGAUGACGGCCUUCGGGUUGUAAACCGCUUUCGACUGUGACGAAGCGUGAGUGACGGUAAUGGGUAAAGAAGCACCGGCUAACUACGUG
rnacentral:rRNA from 1 species